UCUCUCUGCUCUGAUGGUGAUGUGCUGCAGUAUGAUGAAGACCAGCAGAAGAACACAAAUGAGCCCGAGACCCACUGUGAUCAACAACAAACAUCUACUUCCUCCUGACGAACAUGACCAAAACACACAAAUAUAAUUCAUUGCUGUUCAUGUUAUCAGAAAUAAAGCUUCAAAUCAACUUCUGCUGAUAAACCUGCUCUCUGCUGUAUCCUGCUGGACUGGAGGAGAUCUCUCCAAACAGCGAUAGACUGGUGGAACUGAAACAGCAAAAUCCCGGAGACACUCACACAAACUCACCUGCUUCUCUUCACUCUUAAUAAUGACCAGAUCAGCUCCACGAUCCCUGCAGUACUGUCUGCUGUCAGACCAGCUCUUCCUCUCAUUGGACAGAAACAAGCCAUCUGGACCCCACCGA